UUAAAUUGAAGAGUUUGAUCAUGGCUCAGAUUGAACGCUGGCGGCAGGCCUAACACAUGCAAGUCGAACGGUAACAGGAAGCAGCUUGCUGCUUUGCUGACGAGUGGCGGACGGGUGAGUAAUGUCUGGGAAACUGCCCGAUGGAGGGGGAUAACUACUGGAAACGGUAGCUAAUACCGCAUAACGUCGCAAGACCAAAGAGGGGGACCUUAGGGCCUCUUGCCAUCGGAUGUGCCCAGAUGGGAUUAGCUAGUAGGUGGGGUAACGGCUCACCUAGGCGACGAUCCCUAGCUGGUCUGAGAGGAUGACCAGCCACACUGGAACUGAGACACGGUCCAGACUCCUACGGGAGGCAGCAGUGGGGAAUAUUGCACAAUGGGCGCAAGCCUGAUGCAGCCAUGCCGCGUGUAUGAAGAAGGCCUUCGGGUUGUAAAGUACUUUCAGCGGGGAGGAAGGGAGUA
rnacentral:rRNA from 1 species